UACGGAGGAUCCGAGCGUUAUCCGGAUUUAUUGGGUUUAAAGGGUGCGCAGGCGGGAGAUUAAGUCGGCGGUGAAAUUUUGCAGCUCAACUGUAAAAGUGCCUUCGAAGCUGGUUUCCUUGAGUGUGGAUGAAGUAGGCGGAAUUUGUGGUGUAGCGGUGAAAUGCAUAGAUAUCACGAGGAACUCCGAUUGCGCAGGCAGCUUACUAAACUACUACUGACGCUCAGGCACGAAGGCGUGGGGAUCAAACAGGAUUAGAUACCCU
rnacentral:rRNA from 1 species